AUUUUAUUUUAGAGGAUAAAUUUUAAAUAUCUCUGUAAUUUUAUAUUUUCUUACUUUAAUAUUUUAUAGUUUAAAGUAUAUUAAUUUAAUAUCUUGUAAUUUUUUUUUUCUUUUAGUCGGCCCGUCUGUUAAGCUUUUUAUUAAAUUAUAUACAAAAAAUUUUAGAUACCGUACCUAUAAUUUAUCAAAUAUUUAUUUUAAUAUUUUUUAGUUUUAAUUUUGCCACUAAAAAAUUAGUGGAGGAGAUAAUAAAAUAAAAAAAAUAAAAUCAUAGAGUACGAAAAUAAUACGCUUUAAAUUACAAGAUACUAAAGUGAGAAAAUACGAAAUUAUAUGAUGGUAUUUAAAGUUUUCUUUAUUUUAAAUUUGCCAAGUUAACCACGGAUUCGGACGAUAUGGUUAUGGGUAAAAAUUAGAGGAUUUUUAGAAUCUAAAUAUUAAGGCUUUAUUUGGAAUGGUAAAGAAAUUAUUUAUGCACGAUAAGAAAAUAUAUAAUGAUAUAUUUUGCAU
rnacentral:lncRNA from 1 species